AGAGUUAUUCCUAUUCUCUUUUGGAAGGGAACCUGAAGAAUCGAAUGCAAUUCUCCUUACUCUGUGUUCAUGGUGUCUGACUUGAUGCUGACCAGCAAAGUUUGCUCAGCUACUGUUAGACCAAUUUUUUGACAGAAGGAAGGAAACUGCAUAAUUGGAUUAAUUUCAAGGCAUCGUUUUUAGGAGGAUGCUCUAUUCAAUUUACAACCACAUCCUUUUCCAGAGAGUUCCAGUUGAAAAUUGAAGACCAUAAGACCAAUAAGAUUUGAAGACAGAGAAAGAAAAAAAAACAUUUAAGGUGGGAGCAGAUACUUUGAAGAAGGUGGCACCUGUCAAAUGUUCCAUGCCCAUGGAGAGCCCAAGCAAAAUCACAUUGUUACUGCCACAGACGCCUUCACGAAGGGACAAUGCAAGAGCCUGAGACAUGGAGUAUUUUUCUGUUAUGGUAUAUUUUAUGAUAAGUAUAGCAAAAUAAAUUUUGAUUAUAAGAUAAUUAAAGCAAUGACUAUCAUCCUCAUCAUCUUCCUUCUCAUCAGAUAUUAUUAGCUAAGAUUUAUUGAAUAUCUUCUACAUGGCACACUCACUCCCAGGCAAGUUAAAUUUUCUUUUUCUUUAUCCUCACAAUUAACCUAUGAAGUAAGAAUAAAUGGACUACCAUCGCCAUUAAACAGAUACUGGGGAGGAAAAGAGCUCUUACUUUAUCACAGGAAACAAAAUUCAAAACGUUUGCCGCUUAAGCCUGGCUUUUGUUCAGCUGAGGGGGCUGCCAUUGUUAGUUAAGUGUCUGUGGCUUCCUGUUCCUCUUAGACCUGAGGGGGUGAAAUUUGAAAUGUAUGGGAUGAUGGUCAGGUAUCUAUUCUUUUCUGAGAGGGCAGCCUUGCAAAUUGUAAAGGUAAAUAAGAAACUAUCUUCUUGUAAGUUGGGUUAAACUGUGUGUUAGUGU